UACGUAGGGUGCAAGCGUUGUCCGGAAUUAUUGGGCGUAAAGAGCUCGUAGGCGGUUCGUCGCGUCGGCUGUGAAAACCCGGAGCUCAACUCCGGGCCUGCAGUCGAUACGGGCGGACUUGAGUGUUGCAGGGGAGACUGGAAUUCCUGGUGUAGCGGUGAAAUGCGCAGAUAUCAGGAGGAACACCGGUGGCGAAGGCGGGUCUCUGGGCAACUACUGACGCUGAGGCGCGAAAGCUAGGGGAGCAAACGGG
rnacentral:rRNA from 1 species